AUAAUACUCCAUAGAUUAGAGACACUGGAAUGUUCUUUAGUCGAAAGUUCUGGCGCCUUAGGAUGGAUCUGCGGUCGAUUAGGUUGUUGUUGGGGUAACGGCCCAACAAGCCUGUAAUCGAUACGGGUUGUGGGAGCAAGAGCCCGGAGAUGGAAUCUGAGACACGAUUCCAGGCCCUACGGGGCGCAGCAGGCGCGAAAACUUUACAAUGCAGGAAACUGUGAUAAGGGAACUCCGAGUGCCCGUAUACGCGGGCUGUCCAGGUGUUUAAAAAUCAUCUGAAGAAAGGGCCGGGCAAGACCGGUGCCAGCCGCCGCGGUAAUACCGGCGGCUCGAGUGGUGGCCACUAUUAUUGGGCUUAAAGCGUCCGUAGCCGGACCGAUAAGUCUCUUGGGAAAUCCGCCGGCUCAACCGGCGGGCGUCUAAGGGAUACUGUUAGUCUAGGGACCGGGAGAGGUGAGAGGUACUCCGGGGGUAGGAGUGAAAUCCUGUAAUCCCCGGGGGACCACCGAUGGCGAAGGCAUCUCACCAGAACGGCUCCGACAGUGAGGGACGAAAGCUGGGGGAGCGAACCGGAUUAGAUACCCGGGUAGUCCCAGCCGUAAACUAUGCGCGUUAGGUGU
rnacentral:rRNA from 1 species